rnacentral:ribozyme from 1 species
UCUACAGAAAUAAAAAAAGAUAAAGAAAAAAUAAGAAGAAAAUGAC